AGUGAACGCUGGCGGUAGGCCUAACACAUGCAAGUCGAACGGCAGCACAGUAAGAGCUUGCUCUUACGGGUGGCGAGUGGCGGACGGGUGAGGAAUACAUCGGAAUCUACUUUUUCGUGGGGGAUAACGUAGGGAAACUUACGCUAAUACCGCAUACGACCUACGGUUGAAAGCAGGGGAUCUUCGGACCUUGCGCGAUUGAAUGAGCCGAUGUCGGAUUAGCUAGUUGGCGGGGUAAAGGCCCACCAAGGCGACGAUCCGUAGCUGGUCUGAGAGGAUGAUCAGCCACACUGGAACUGAGACACGGGCCAGACUCCUACGGAGGCAGCAGUGGGGAAUAUUGGACAAUGGGCGCAAGCCUGAUCCAGCCAUACCGCGUGGGUGAAGAAGGCCUUCGGGUUGUAAAGCCCUUUUGUUGGGAAAGAAAAGCAGCAGGUUAAUACCCCGCUGUUCUGACGGUACCCAAAGAAUAAGCACCGGCUAACUUCGUG
rnacentral:rRNA from 1 species